CCGAGAUGACACAGGGAGAGAGCUACGCGGUUUGGGGCAUAUAUGAUGUCUUUAUUCUGCUCGAUGAGAGGCUUACAGGUUGUGCAAAGACAUCAACGGCCAAGCCGAGCGUAGUGAGGUGGCCCCAAACCGCGUAGCGGAAAUGUGUGAAGAAAGGUGGUAUUGUUAUUGUAGUAAAUUAGAGAGAAUAUAAAAUUCCAGUUCAAUUGACAAAGAAACAGUCCAGGACUUGUGAAGAUCCGCCUGCAGAACGCCGCUGGGCACUGUCGAACAGCGUAGACUCGGGCCGUAAACAGGUGCGUCGGCGCGGUGAGCCUAACUUAGUACUGCGAAGUGAGGGGUCCUGAGGGUCCUCAGCACACCGCUGGAGCUGGUUUCCUUGUGUUGUCGAUGGUGAACAGAAGGAACGCAGAGAAGGAAGUGUCACUCGUGUACGUAGCUGUCGCGCCGCUGAUGGAACCAUGAUUGUCACGGGAAAUCACGGACAUCUCGCGAGAACGGGAAGGGCGCGAGAAUUCGAGAAGAUUCGAAGAUUCGGUGGAACUGUUGGGGUGGGGGGCGGUCGACGUUUGGUCUCCAAUAGGACUGUACGUCCCCGAUGAGAGAGGGCAAGUCCUUCGUAGCAUCUGCAAGGUAGUCUGAGACAGAGUUUCAGUGACGUGAUGUUUCGUAGCCCCAGGUAGAGCGAGUUACUGGCUGUCGAAAGCGGCUAGACGGCGCGCCUGGCCAUGCAUGGCGUGGUGUUCGGACAGCUCGCCCGUCGUGGUGAUGCACUUUAUCGGCCGGUUCCGUGAGCAAUCCAGCGGUCCCAGAUCGUCUACUGGUGGAAUCGUGUGCCUCAGUAGUUCAUACACGCUGUACACUGGGUAGACGCUCUUGAUCAGAGCUAAAAUUCAGAAAUUUUGGACGAAAAGAUAAGCGAGAGGCGAGCCCUGCCGUGACUCAGACGGCGGAUGUCGCUCAGUGAGGUCGAAGGUCACUUCCUACAGAGAAAUUCCACACGA